CAGGUCAGCAUACUGCCGUGAAUACGUUCCCGGGCCUUGUACACACCGCCCGUCACACCAUGAGAGUUGGAGAUACCCGAAGCCUGUGAGCUAACAAACGAGGCAGCAGUCGAAGGUAGAAUCAAUGAUUGGGGUGAAGUCGUAACAAGGUAAC
rnacentral:rRNA from 1 species